GUAUAUGCGCUGCCAGGCACACAGAGACACUGAACUCGCAGCUUGAGACAGAACUGAGCACACUUGUGCAGGGAAAUCCAGGCCUCAUGCCGCUCUCCAGCCUGCUCUGGGUGUUCCUGGCCAUCACCUUCUCUGGAUCCAGUGUGGCCCAGCAAGUAACUCAAGUCCAGACAGCUGUACCCAGUCAAGUGGGGCAGACAGUCACCCUGAAUUGUCGAUAUGAAGUAAGUUGGACCACGCAAUACUACAACAUUUAUUGGUAUAAACAGCUGCCCAGGGGAGAGAUGACUUACCUUAUUCAUCAGUAUUCAGAACACAGUAAUGCAAGGAGCGGCCGCUACUCUGUAAACUUCCAGAAAGCAGAUAAAUCCAUCAGCCUCAUCAUUUCAGCCUUACAGCUGGAAGACUCUGCAAAGUACUUCUGUGCUCUCCGGGAGCUCACAGUGCUUGAAGUAAUGGGAGAAGCUGAACAAAAACCCCAGAGCUUAAUAAGAGAGAGCCCCACUGCUUCAGGACCUCAGUUGAAGUGCACACCUGCAUAUCCCGGAAGAGAUGGCAGUCCUGUGGUUGCUUCAUCUGUGGUCUGGAUCAGAAGAUUUAAUUCUAAAUAAAAGCUCCUUCUAGGUGGAUCACCAGGCUACAGCUGGAACCAGGUGGGCCUGCCCCACAGGAACUGGAGCUGGAAGAAGACAGGGAAUCACUGUGGUUUCUCCCUCUCUUUGGUCCCCCAGUUUCCCACCAGUGCUUUGGGUCCCCCAUUUGAGCAGGAGGCCAGUAGACGCUAGAACUGGGAAAGCACAUCUUACCUCCUGCAACUCCUUUCUGGUGGAUCCACUUCACAGCUCUUGCCUCGCCUUUCACUAAGAGUUUCCUCUGAUUGCCCAGGUUGAUACAGGCUUUCAGCUCUUGC